UCCGAGAAGUGGUCAUUCGCUGUUUGGUUUUCAAACUAAAUAGAGGAAAGUCCGGACAUCACAGGACAGGAUUCCUUGCGAAAGCGAGGGGGGCUUGCGUCAAAGCAAGUUCACGGCAAGUGCAACAGAAAAUAAACCGCUUGUUCAUACAAGUAAGGGUGAAAUGGUGGGGUAAGAGCUCACCGCCACAAGGGCAACCAAGUGGGCAUUGUAAACCCAAUCCGAUGCAAGGCGAAAUAGGGAAUCAGGUGGUCCGCCUAAUGGUUUCGGGUACGCCGCAUCUCCAUUCUUUGGAGAAUUCUAUUAAUUGGAAUAGAUAAAUGAAUGACACUUCGAUUCUUUCGAAGUACAGAAUCUGGCUUACAUCUUCUCGGAAUUU
rnacentral:RNase_P_RNA from 1 species